rnacentral:lncRNA from 1 species
GGAGAUGCACACACAUGAUAAACAGUGAAUAGGGAGAUAACUCUUACAGAGAAAAUUGUUCGUCUUAGCAGGGUGAAAUUUAAAAGCGCAUAAACUAUACGAUACAAUAUGAGAAAUAUCUAAGCGACAUAUUGCGAAACAAACAUUUAUCGCAAGAACAAAAUUUGGCGGAAAAAAAAAAAAAUAAUAAUAAUAAUAAUAAUAAUAAUAAUAAUAAUAAUCAGAACAAAUACAAUAAGUCUUUCCACAGAAAAGUGGAAAGACUUAAUAAUAAUGAUACAUAAAUU